rnacentral:rRNA from 1 species
UACGGAGAGUGCAAACGUUGUUCGGAUUCACUGGGCGUAAAGGGCACGUAGGUGGCCAGGCAAUUCGAUCGUGGAAUACCGACGCUCACCGUCGGUGCGCCGGUCGAAAAUACCUGGCUCGAGGGCGUGAGGGGUCGCUGGAACUCCUGGUGGAGCGGUGAAAUGCGUAGAUAUCAGGAGGAACGCCGGAGGCUAACGCGAGCGACUGGCGCGUCCCUGACACUGAGGUGCGAAAGCCGGGGGAGCAAACAGG